rnacentral:rRNA from 1 species
CGAAGGUCCCAAGCGUUAUCCGGAUUUAUUGGGUUUAAAGGGUGCGUAGGCGGACUAUUAAGUCAGUGGUGAAAGCCCCGAGCUCAACUCGGGAACUGCCAUUGAUACUGAUGGUCUUGAGUACAUUUGAGGUGGGCGGAAUGUGUCAUGUAGCGGUGAAAUGCUUAGAUAUGACACAGAACACCGAUUGCGAAGGCAGCUCACUAAACUGUAACUGACGCUGAGGCACGAAAGCGUGGGGAGCAAACAGGAUUAGAUACCCUGGUAGUCCACGCCCUAAACGAUGAUCACUCGAUGUGUGCGAUACACUGUACGCGUCUGAGCGAAAGCAUUAAGUGAUCCACCUGGGGAGUACGGCCGCAAGGCUG